ensembl:piRNA 21ur-9800 ncRNA
UUCCUUUUUCAAAAGAACAAG